UAGAUUGACCCUUCAAUAUAUAAAGCGUGAAACUAUGUGUUGAAGGUUUCACCUUAUAAAUUCCAAGUACAAUCCAUGUAUGUAUAUAUUUUUAUUCGAUUCAGAUUUUAAUGAGGUUUAGUUAUUGAAACGAGAUUAAUACAAAGUCGAGUUUCCAAUUUAUAGAUGUCAUCAAAUUAGUCAACUUAAUUUCGGAGAGUUAUCUCCCUUCAGUAAGGUCGCACCCAAAGCUAUAUUACAUUCUCAAGUCAGUAUAUUCGAAGCUCGUCAACACUUGCCUCACAGUGAGAGCGAAUCUGAAACCAAGUGGUUUAUUGUAAGAUUCCUGAUGUGAAACCGUGUGUUGAAACAGAUAUUGUUCUAUUUCGGGACGAUAAUUUUCUUUUUUUUUGCCCAAAUAAACUAUAUAUUUGUU